AGUGUGUGUUGUCAAAAUGCAACUUUUGAAUUGUUCUAAAGCCACAGUAAGAGAAUUACAUUUAUGGACAAUCUUCAAUUAUGUUCAGUGGCAAGGAGCAGAGAACCCACAGGCAAUUGAAAUCUCUACUAAUAAUUCUGGCUAACAAGGCAUUGUGCUUACGGUUUCCAGAGUGCUCUUCACAUACAUUAUCUGCAGCUACAGAUAAUUUGAAAUUCUCAAUCUGCCUGAGUUGCAAUUCCCUCUCCAUUAAACCUUUUGUCAGAGCUAUCAA